CUUAUGUCAGGCAUCUAACCAAAAAAACAUUUAAAAAAUCCAUUAACUUUGAGACAAGGGAAUCGGAAGUGCAAAAAUGUGAACUAAUUUCUAGGUUUUAGGACUCAUCACUGCAAACAAUAACAAAGUUGU